UCGAAUCUGAUCCCCUUCAUUCUGUUGACGGAAUAACUCCUAUUGAUGAUGGGUGCAAUCAAUUAACCCCACUAUCUGUUCUUCAAUGCCGACUUCUCACCUCCCACAUCAACGGAUGCUACUAUAUAUUUGUCAUCAAAGUGCUCAUGAGAAAUCACAAAUCUUCUUCAAAUCAUAGUAGCCUAAAAACCCUAGAAGAAUACCAUCCAGGAACGGCAAGAAUGCAGUUGUUACACGUCUUCUGCGGUUUUGGGAGGCUAGGAAUGUAAAGAAAGGACGAGAGCUCACGUCUUCCUCGAUGAGAAGUCUACGCUGGACUGGUCCAAGGGUCAAUUGGUGCUUAUAGACUGAACCGCUAUACUUAAAGGAUUCUCAGUUCAGAGAAGGGGACAGAGCAGAGUAUCAGUUCAGAAUGACAGCUACUGUACUCGACAAUGUAACUCAGAAACAAAUGCUUAAGUUUCUUCGACUUCAGCUGUCAUGUUCAAUACAUGUGCUUAAGCUGGACGGUUAUGUUCGUUCUCCUCCUCGCUCUCUUCCCAACCAGUAGGGUAACAGUAAAUGACUGAUGCUUGGAAGUUAAAAGUAAUUGAGCUUGAGCUGAAAAGUGAAAGACUGGCCAACUAUCUUCUGUAGGCAUUGUGGAAGAGCUGCGUGCAAGGGAACUUCUACACCUGCACCCUGUGCCCAGAAUCUCUUACGGCAACCAACGUCCGCCUGUUCAGCGUUUUGUAGACCAGGUUGUGUUGUAUCUGGAUUCAAAAUUAAAAUGCUCAAAUAAAUCCAACUCUAACCUUCAUAAGUCCACGCUGAGAAGGUGAUGAUCACCCGACAUGCCUGGUGCUGUCAGCAAAACUAAACAGCCUACUUCUAAGCUGAACAAGAGUGGACCAGAGAACAAGACAAAAGCUGGUGACAAUGUAUUCAUUGUACAAAGCCCGGUGGACCCAUCACCAGAACCUCCUCAAAAUGUUGAGGUUGUUAGUUCCGCAGAGAAAACAACAGUUUCAGACGAAGCUCCUUCAAAUAAGAAAGCCCAAAACAUUGUUCCAACAGUGGAGAUUAUGUGCCUCCAACAUAGUAUUAAGAUAAGUCUUUUGUCAAAAUAAAAACCGAGUAUAAAGAUGCAGUUGCAUAUUUGAGUUUCUAAGUGUUAGUCCAAUAAUGAUGUCGUUCCUUAUUUUUUUGUCCAACCCAUCAUGAUUGGUUAUUGUCGUUUUAUGUUUUAGUUGGUUUUAAAACAG